GGGGGUGACACGGCUUCGACGUGGGUCGCGAAACCUUCGGGGCAUGCCGAGGCGCAGAGUACCUCGUAAAUCCAGCUGCAAACCAAUAGUUGCCAACGACGACAACUACGCUCUGGCGGCCUAAACCCCGCUAGCCUUCCGCCCACGCUUCGCCCGCGGGCAGGGACCGGAGGGUCAUCCACACGGGAUCGCGCUGACUCGUGCCUGUUGGGCCGGCGUUAAACCAUAGCAGGCUAAGCCGCACGUGAACCCUGUCUGCCGGGGGCCGGGCGGUCAAACAAAAGACAGACUACGCAUGUAGAACCGGAGCCGUAGGGCUUGCGGACGCGGGUUCAACUCCCGCCACCUCCACCA
rnacentral:tmRNA from 1 species